GAGUACACGUAAGCAACCUACCCUAAAGACGAGGAUAACCAUUGGAAACAGUGGCUAAGACUGGAUAGGAAGAUAAAAGGCAUCUUGUAUCUUUUAAAAGACCUAGUUAAUAGGUAUGCUUUAGGAGGGGCUUGCGCCAUAUUAGUUAGUUGGUAGGGUAAUGGCCUACCAAGACGAUGAUGUGUAGCUGGACUGAGAGGUUGAACAGCCACAUUGGGACUGAGACACGGCCCAAACUCCUACGGGAGGCAGCAGUAGGGAAUUUUCGGCAAUGGAGGAAACUCUGACCGAGCAACGCCGCGUGAAUGACGAAGUACUUCGGUAUGUAAAGUUCUUUUAUCGAGGAAGAAAAGCAAAUGGCGAACCAUUUGUUUGCCGGUACUUGAUGAAUAAGCCCCGGCUAAUUAUGUGCCAGCAGCCGCGGUAAGACAUAAGGGGCAAGUGUUAUCCGGAAUUAUUGGGCGUAAAGGGUGCGUAGGCGGUCUAGUAAGUCAGUGGUGUAAUGGCAACGCUUAACGUUGUCCGGCUAUUGAAACUGCUAAACUUGAGUUAGAUAGAGGCGAGUGGAAUUCCAUGUGUAGCGGUAAAAUGCGUAAAUAUAUGGAGGAACACCAGAGGCGUAGGCGGCUCGCUGGGUCUUAACUGACGCUGAGGCACGAAAGCGUGGGGAGCAAACAGGAUUAGAUACCCUGGUAGUCCACGCCGUAAACGAUGAGUACUAAGUGUCGGGUUAAACCGGUACUGAAGUUAACACAUUAAGUACUCCGCCUGAGUAGUACGUACGCAAGUAUGAAACUUAAAGGAAUUGACGGGACUCCGCACAAGCGGUGGAUCAUGUUGUUUAAUUCGAAGAUACCCGAAAAACCUUACCAGGUCUUGACAUGUUUUUGCAAAAUGAUAGUAAUAUCGUGGAGGUUACCAGAAACACAGGUGGUGCAUGGUUGUCGUCAGCUCGUGUCGUGAGAUGUUAGGUUAAGUCCUAAAACGAGCGAAACCCUUAUCGUUAGUUGCCAGCACGUUAUGGUGGGGACUUUAACGAGACUGCCAAUGAUAAAUUGGAGGAAGGUGAGGAUCACGUCAAAUCAGCAUGCCCCUUAUGACCUGGGCUACAAACGUGAUACAAUGGCUGUUACAAAGGGUAGCUGAAACGCAAGUUCUUGGCCAAUCCCCAAAAACAGUCCCAGUCCGGAUUGAAGUCUGCAACUCGACUUCAUGAAGUUGGAAUCGCUAGUAAUCGCGAAUCAGCAUGUCGCGGUGAAUACGUUCUCGGGGUUUGUACACACCGCCCGUCAAACCACGAAAGUUGGCAAUACCCCAAAACGGUAGCCUAACUCGUU
rnacentral:rRNA from 1 species